rnacentral:tRNA from 1 species
GGCGGAAUUGGCAGACGCGCCAGCUUGAGGGGCUGGUGCCCGCAAGGGCGUGGGGGUUCAAGUCCCCCC